CUCCAUUGGCCGGUUUCGCAGAUACAGAUAAAUCAUAGUCUAGGACUAAAAGAAGUUCAUUAGAGAAAUCCAUUGGGCUUGUUUUUUAGUCCUAGGCUAUAGGCUUAAUCUGUGUCUGCGAAACCGGCCCCCAUGGGUAUUACAUUUAAAUCCUGGACUAGUCUUAAUCGGUUUUAGUGGAAACCGCCCCAUACGGUGCAGUCCAUUCCAGCCUCCAUUCGAAUUCCCGCUCGCACGAUUUAAUGCAUUUCCCAUUUGUCCUGACAUCACACAUUCAGAAUCCUUCUCGACACACGUAGCGGGUGGGAGGAACGACUGUGCACGUGAACCCACUACAACUCCGCCUUGACCUACCGGUAUUUUCAGACCAGCUUUGAUCCGUGAGAAAACGACUGAAACUCCCUGGAAUCAUGGUGGAUAUUUCCCCCCCCUGUUUCGUAUGGAGUCACUCUAGUGCCAGUCUUGUAGGUGGAGAGUGAGAGAGAGCGAGAGAGAGAGUGAGAUCUCACUGGUAAUCUGUUCUCCAUUUUACACACUUGGCGCUGUGCUUUUGAUGGCGUUCUUGCAGAGGACUGGAGAUUACUGCCACGCUCAACAUCCCAGGGCAUAGGCGGCCGAUCCAGUGACCAGGGGGAGGAUGACCACUGCUCUGCCCUCACCGCAGACCAAGCUGCACUGAUCCCUGGGUGAAACAGGACCCCCC
ensembl:lncRNA